rnacentral:lncRNA from 1 species
AGGAGGGAGGCCCAGCGCACGCCUGCCCUUCUCCUGUUGUCAGCAGGAGGGCCAUCAGAAGGAAGCUCUGUUCUCAGAAGAAAGAGCAUGAAGCCCAGUGCCAGGCGGAAACGGGCACAGAAGCAACUGGCCCAUCAGAGACAGUUAAAGGAAAAACAAAAAAAUGGGAUGGAAGAUGUUUGAGGGGAAGGGAGAGGCUGUACCCUAGACUGAAGGAAUCGAGGAUGGGAGACAGAAAUCUGCAUGCAUUUUUUACAAGCUUCCUAGGUCUUUCUUGCGCCCAGAACAACUGUGACCUCUCAGCUGGCCAAGAGCACCACUGCCAUGCCUUCAUUCAUCAGGGAAGCACUCGUUAUGCUCCUUCUGUGUACACAGCCCUGAGCCUCAGCACAAUGCUCAGCACUACAGUCAGCACA